GGUCAUUGGAAACUGGGGAACUUGAGUGCAGAAGAGGAGAGUGGAAUUCCACGUGUAGCGGUGAAAUGCGUAGAGAUGUGGAGGAACACCAGUGGCGAAGGCGACUCUCUGGUCUGUAACUGACGCUGAGGAGCGAAAGCGUGGGGAGCGAACAGGAUUAGAUACCCUGGUAGUCCACGCCGUAAACGAUGAGUGCUAAGUGUUAGGGGGUUUCCGCCCCUUAGUGCUGCAGCUAACGCAUUAAGCACUCCGCCUGGGGAGUACGGUCGCAAGACUGAAACUCAAAGGAAUUGACGGGGGCCCGCACAAGCGGUGGAGCAUGUGGUUUAAUUCGAAGCAACGCGAAGAACCUUACCAGGUCUUGACAUCCUCUGACAAUCCUAGAGAUAGGACGUCCCCUUCGGGGGCAGAGUGACAGGUGGUGCAUGGUUGUCGUCAGCUCGUGUCGUGAGAUGUUGGGUUAAGUCCCGCAACGAGCGCAACCCUUGAUCUUAGUUGCCAGCAUUCAGUUGGGCACUCUAAGGUGACUGCCGGUGACAAACCGGAGGAAGGUGGGGAUGACGUCAAAUCAUCAUGCCCCUUAUGACCUGGGCUACACACGUGCUACAAUGGACAGAACAAAGGGCAGCGAAACCGCGAGGUUAAGCCAAUCCCACAAAUCUGUUCUCAGUUCGGAUCGCAGUCUGCAACUCGACUGCGUGAAGCUGG
rnacentral:rRNA from 2 species